rnacentral:rRNA from 1 species
CGCCUCUUGAAUUAAAUAUAAGAGGUCCAGCCUGCCCAGUGACUCUGUUCAACGGCCGCGGUAUCCUAACCGUGCGAAGGUAGCGUAAUCACUUGUCCUUUAAAUGAGGACUAGUAUGAACGGCACCACGAAGGUUUUACUGUCUCCUUUUUCUAAUCAGUGAAACUAAUCUCCCCGUGAAGAAGCGGGGAUAAACCUAUAAGACGAGAAGACCCUAUGGAGCUUUAAACCACGUAACACUUGCACCAACUCAAUGUAAAUUUCCGAAGAACCUACUUCACCAAUGCAAGAUUAUUACCAGUUUUAGGUUGGGGUGACCGCGGAGCAAAAAACAACCUCCACAUUGAAAGGAUUAAUUAUUCUGAGCAAAGAACAACACCUCCAUGCACCAUUACAAUGACAUCAAUUGACCCAAUAUUUUGAUCAACGAACCAAGUUACCCUAGGGAUAACAGCGCAAUCUACUUCAAGAGCUCCUAUCGACAAGUAGGUUUACGACCUCGAUGUUGGAUCAGGGUAUCCCGGUGGUGCAGCCGCUACCAAAGGUUCGUUUGUUCAACGAUUAAAACCCU